ACUUGACGUCGCGAAACUGAUAUUUAGUUGAAGUUGGAGCGUGUUCAGAAUCGGUCGGUUUCACACGCGCUCUCAGCUGCUAUAUUCUUUUUAUUGAGCUCUUCAUCAUCAUCAUAAUUUUUUCCAUACCAUCGGAAUUAUACAGUUGUUUUUUAUCUCUCUACUACUUAUGUCCACUGUUUUGUGUUGAGUGAGUGACCCAUUAUUCAAAAAGAGUGUUGUCUCUUGUUUUGUAGAAGAAUAGAAAAACCUAAAAGGAAAAAGCUACAAAAAAAAGUCUGAAAAUCUGUUAAAGAAUUCAGUGUCUUGUGAAUAAUAUUUUUUUUUUUUGGAAAGUCUUAAUCUAUAGCCCCCUUUUUUUCAUUUAGCCCCCAAGAGUUUUUUUGCGAACGUUUUUCGCCAAGUUUUUUGCUUUUGUUGUUGAAACUCUCCACUAUCUCGUGUUGUUGAGUGUUGUGUGAGUAUAUUGUAGAAAAUUUUUUGUGACAUCACAAAAUUUUUUGUCUUGUCGUCGUCACUGUCAAUUGUCGUCGCAAGUCGUAAUCUCCAAGCUCCGGUUUCGGUUCGAUUCGGUUUUUGGUUUUUUCUCGUGUCGUGUGUGUUGAGUGAAGUGUUGUGUGUGUCUAUUUGGCAUAAACUGCUUUUUUCGGAGUCCAUCUUGGUCCAGCAGCCAGCAAGUAUCUCCAACAUUACGAUAUAUAAAAUCUUGUGUCUGCUUGAUAAAUUAGAUACAAACAACAACAACAACAAGACUCCUUUACAAUAAAAUACAAAAAUAAAAACAGUAAAACAUCAGAAUAAUUCGUAUACAAAAACAAUUUUUUGGAUUGCUCUUCGUGCUCUCGGAAUAAAAUUUGCAUUCACAUUUCGGAUUCGCAUUUUAUAUGCAACAAAGGUAAGCUAUUGAGCAGCUAAACAAUAUAAGAACAUGCGGUAGGUAAGAACGCAAAGAAAAAUACAUCUAUACAAAUAAAGUAGGUAGUUGCGGGUAGUAAGGCCUUUCGGUUUUAUGGUAGGUACCCAAAAUACAGAAAUUAAAUUUCAAAUGAUCCCAGUAUCUAGAGGUCACAAUUCUAUUUAAAGCUAAAACUUAUAUAAAAAUAGCCUUGUUUAAUUUUCUUGUGAUCCAGAUCAGAUCAAGUUAGCACUGCCAUCCCCUCCAAAAUCUUAAUACGAGCUUUAAAUCAAAAAAACAGUAUGCCAAUAAUUGUCGUGAUUUUGUCGUAGACAGAUGGCAUUUAAAAAAAAUUGUCGUGUCAUUAUUUUGGAUAUUAGGCCCCCUAAACUGAAU